AGUUCAAUGCUGGCUGUAUCGUAGCCUAUGAAAUUUAUCUGAGGCGCGAUUAUUGCUGGUUGAAACUUGCUGCUGCUGCGGCGACUCGGUAACGCAUAUAAACUCUUUUUAUUAAGAGUUAAUUUGCUGAACAUUAUUAAUUGU